rnacentral:lncRNA from 1 species
CCUCUUAUCUCUUGCCAGGCUCUAUAGCAAUUCCUCCUUUGCCUUGCUUCCUCCAAGUCACAGCCCCUCCUCUCUUCCCUCAGAUUCUAGCCUGUGCCUUGGCAGCUUCCAUCCUCCGCAGGCAUCUCAUGGUCUGGAAGGUGUUUGCUCCCAAGUAAGUGGGUUCACUUGGGAGGAAACUAUGGACGUCCUAGGUUCACAGUGUUUUGCCUUUUUAGAGAAAGGCAUUAGACCUAUUGUUUGUGUCCUGAAAUACUCCACCUUCUCCACAGGUUUAUUUUUGAAGCCAUAGGUUUCAUCGUGAGCAGUGUGGGACUUCUCCUGGGCAUAGCGUUGGUGAUGCGAGUGGAUGGUGCUGUGAGUUCCUGGUUCAAAAAACUAGUUCUGGCACAGCAGAGGUAGCCCAGGCUGUGCAUGUUGGCACCUGGCCAUGGAGAGAGCUGGGGACUAAUCCAGCCUGACCUGUACUGGUGCUGGAUAUAUUCUACAGGCAACUGACACAGCUCUUAAACCACGCUGUAACCAGAGACUGCUCAACUCUGGGACUUUAUUAUUUUAUAACUGAGAAUCACCUGGAGCCUGAGCCCUAGCUCCUGAGUUGGAUGCAUCUGACGGAAAACAGGGGCAGUCACCAAAGUGGAAUAAAAGAACAAUGUGAAUGUUCGUAUGUAUCUAAGAUCUGUGGAAGUGUUCACCAAGUCAGUCUCUUCUCUCAAGAUGAGCAGAUGCCUCACCUUAGGCAGGGCUUGUUGUACCAGAGAACCCUUUGGCAAGAGGUUGUCUGGAUUCACUGACCUCUUCCCAAACUGUUCUAUUAUCCCGUUUGUCCCGGCCUCUGCCUUGUUGGUCUUUGGUCAUUCUGUGCUUUCACUGAUAGCAGGGAAGACAAACCCAGCAUCAUGAAGCACACAGACAUGUUUGAACACACACAGAACAUGUUCCUAACACACAGUUUGAAGCACUGUGGUUCCCCUGGUAUCCUUUCCAUUCACAACUGCAGAAGCCUCUCUCUAGGUUUUCAGCCCAUGCCACCUUCAUUGCAUCUUUUUGCCAAUUGACUAUUCCCAAGUUAAAGCCAAAAUGGAAUGGAACGAUUCUCCUUGUUUAAAAAAAAAAAAAAAAACCAGUGUCACUAUGGAAGCCCUAGCUGGCUUGGAACUCAGUAUGCAGACUAAGCCAGACUCGAACUCACAGAGAUCCACCUGCCUCUGCCUCCCAGUAUUGAGAAUGAAGGUGUGUGUCACCACGCCUGGCUAAUGAUUUUCUUGUAUGUCCAUCCUGUGACUUUCUCUAACUGACCACUCACAUGUCAAGUUUAAGGUGUGAGGAUGUCCUGAAAAUGUCCAUCAGCGGAGCUGGGAAGAGGGUGGGACUGUGCUUGAGGUUUGCGGUGUUCUAAUUAGGAGAUUGGACUUGUGGGUAGCAGAUGAACAAAUGUUAAAACUGGGACCCAUAGGUAUGGUAGCACACAUCUGGAUCCUAGUACUUGGGAGGUGUGUAGGCAAGAGGAUUUAGACCUCAAGGAUAUCCUUGGCUACAUAUUUAGUUGAAAGCCAGCCUGGGCUACAUGAGACCCUGUCUUAGAAAAAGAAAAGUUCAACAACUGAAGCUGGAGAGAUGGCUCGGUGGUUAAGAGCACUGACUGCUCUUCCAGAGGUCCUGAGUUCAAAUCCCAGCAACCACAUGGUGGCUCACAACGAUCUGUAAUGAGAUCUGAUGUCCUCUUCUGCUGUUUCUGAAGACAGCUACAGUGUAUUUAUAUAUAAUAAAUAAAUCUUUAAAA